GAAAUGCGAUAAGUAGUGUGAAUUGCAGAAAUCAGUGAAUCAUCGAAUCUUUGAACGCACAUUGCGCCCCUUGGUAUUCCAUGGGGCAUGCCUGUUCGAGCGUCAUUUGUACCCUCAAGCUCUGCUUGGUGUUGGGUGUUUGUCCCCGUCUCCGCGCGUGGACUCGCCCCAAAGUGAUUGGCAGCCGGCGUACUGGUCCCGGAGCGCAGCACAUGUUGCGCAAACGAGUGCCUUGGUACGGCGGCGUCCAUAAGCCCCUCUCUCACGCUCUUGACCUCGGAUCAGGUAGGGAUACCCGCUGAACUUAAGC
rnacentral:misc_RNA from 1 species